AUGCAAAUUAACUUUUCCACGUCAAUGUUUCUUCACUCUAAGUUACCCUGCUCCCGAAGUCACUACUCUGAAGUUUAUCAUGGUCCAAAGAGAAGGAAAAAAAGUGUAACCAGGACUGAUAUAUAUAUAUAUAUAUUAAUAUAUAAAAUAAAAUAUGUCUGGAAAGAAAAUAAGCUGUUCAGCUAAGUACUCUGGAUUCAUUAAAUAUUCAUCAAUAAAGAUGUGAAAGAAUAACAAUAUUUAGUUAUAAGGAAAAUUAUAUGCUUAAGAUGAUAUUCUUAAACUUGAUGACAAUUUUCCUGGGCUAUAACUUUUUUGAACAUUGAGUUUAAGCAUUAGCAAUUAAAAUACGUAGUGUUCAGUUAUCAUUAUUGAUAGAUACCAGAUCUAAGUAAUUAAAUAGUAUGUAUUUGGGAUGUGCUUUAUUAUUGUCCUAACUUUAAUCAUUUUGGUACAUAUAGAGUUCUCAAGUUACAUUUGUACACCCGAAAUGUAUCAUUGUGUGUUAGCUGUACUUCAAUAAAAAUAAAAAUAAAUUGAAAUAAAAAUAAAGAUAAGUAAAAAUAAAUAAAAGUUUUCACCAAAAAGCCUUCAAUCUAUCCCACUCCUAUUAGUAAAAUGAGAAAUGAAAAUAAGGCAAGAAAGAAAAAAAUAAAUGAUAGAGGUAGAAUGCACAGCAGAGUGACCCAGUGAUAAUACUCCAUUGCAUAUUUGGAAGUUGCUAAGACAGUUGAUCUUAAAAGUUCUCACAAGAAAAACAAUUUCUGUAAAUAUGUAUGGUAAUGAUAUUAACUAGACUUAUUGUGAUAAUUAUUUUCCCAUAUAAACAAAUAUUGAAUCAUUCUGUUGCCCACCUGAAACUAAUAUAACAUUAGAUGUCAAUUGUAUCUUAAUAAGAACAUUUUUAAAAGAAAAAUAAAACUUAUGUGUGGAUUUACUUGAGGAAUUUUGAUUUUCACUUGGGUUGUGUCCCAUACACCAGAAUUAAAAAAAAAAAAAAAACUCCUUUAUAUAUGAUUUCAUACUUAGUCAAGGUUGAAAACUGUCAAGCUAUCACAUGUGAGUUUGGAGUGAGGUACAGAUUUCACCAAUAAUAAUAAGAAAAAAUUAUGGGAUGCCUGGAUGGUUCAGCAGUUAAGUGUCUGCCUUUGGCUCAGGGCAUGAUCUCGGGGGUCCAGGCUCCUUUGUGGGAGCCUGCUUCUCCCUCUGACCAUGUCUUUGCCUCUCUCUCUCUCUGUAUCUCUCAUGAAUAAAUAUAAAUAAAUAAAUAAAUAAAUAAAUAAAUAAAUCUUAAAAAAGAAGAAGAAAAAAAAAUCAGACAGCUGUGACAGAAGCAGAACUAGUAGCACCACUGACAUAUAAGAGACUGGGCUCCUACACACCAAAGCGCCAGUGAAAACAAGGUCUAGUAUCUUCUCCAAACCAGUGAAACUCCUUAGUAGUGGAGGCCAAACCCAAGGAAAACACGACUAUCAAGUUAGUUCUGAUUGCUUUUUCAAAACAGAGUCCAAGACUAAGUGUGAACUAGAUGAAAUGCAUGCAUGGAUUGUUUUUGAUCCACGAACCUCCGUAGUUGUCUUUAUGCCCUAUAGAAUGUAUCUCAGAAAUGCUAUCUACAGAAAUAGAACAGCUAAGGGAGUGUGUGUGGAAAUAACACUUUCCCUUCCACCAGAGGAAAAGUAGAUAGGUGUUUGAGGAUCUGCAAUGCAUUAAUAGAUUUGAGAGGUUAUGAUGUUGCAUGUUACUGCUCCUAAAUUUGCAUAUUCUAAAUUUAUCAGGAGUGCUGGAUAGUCAGCAUUUUCUAAUUCUGGCUUAACCACCACCAAUUUGUGUUCUGCUGUAACAAAGUAUCCUUUUAGGAGGUAUCAGAUGACCUCCUUACCUAUGUGGAGACUUAGGACUCUAAAAGAAAAGGUCAAGAUGUUUUAAGUGUCAUUGAAAGGUGAGGAUAAAUACAAUGAUUGUAUGGAACUAUUUCUCUUAAUGGAGGGGCUAUGUGCUUUAUGAGUAUAUAUUUCCAUUUGUGGUUGUUUUCCUUUUUGUGGCAUAAAAUACUAUUCCAUUGUAUAGACAGAUCACAUUUUGUUUAUACAUUCAUCAGUUAAUAUACACUUGGGUUGUUGAUCUCUUGGGUUGUGAGAUCCCAGCAGGUGGGUUCCACGCUCAGCAGAGAGUCUGCUUGAAGAUUGUCUCCCUCUGACCUCCCCCCAACUCACACACAUGCACCUGUACUCUCUCUCUCAAAUAAAUGUAUAUUUUAAAAAUAGGGAUAGUUUAUUCCUACCACUAAGGUCUUAUGCUUCUGUAGUGAUGGUGAAUACUAAUGACUUUCCAUUUGGACUAAUAAGAGCUUGAAUGUCUCCUCACCCUGGUUGGGCUCUGAGAACUGGUCUGCAGAUAACUACUUUUUUGUUAUUUACCCAGCAUUAUGAAUUUUUAUUCUAUGUAUAACCAUUAUACUAUUCAGCAGAAUCGAGAGCUUCUUUUUUUUUCUUUUUUUGAAACUUUGCCCACAACUUCCACAACUCCUAAAAUUUUUCUUUGUG
rnacentral:lncRNA from 1 species